GAUGAACGCUGGCGGCGUGCCUAAUACAUGCAAGUCGAGCGAACAGACGAGGAGCUUGCUCCUCUGACGUUAGCGGCGGACGGGUGAGUAACACGUGGAUAACCUACCUAUAAGACUGGGAUAACUUCGGGAAACCGGAGCUAAUACCGGAUAAUAUAUUGAACCGCAUGGUUCAAUAGUGAAAGACGGUUUUGCUGUCACUUAUAGAUGGAUCCGCGCCGCAUUAGCUAGUUGGUAAGGUAACGGCUUACCAAGGCAACGAUGCGUAGCCGACCUGAGAGGGGGAUCGGCCCAACUGGAACUGAGACACGGGCCAGACUCCUAAGGGAGGGAGCAGGAGGGAAUCUUCCCCAAUGGGCGAAAGCCUGACGGAGCAAAGCCGCGUGAGUGAAGAAGGUUUUCGGAUCGUAAAAACCUGUUAUUAGGGAAAAACAAAUGUGUAAGGAAAUAUGCACGUCUUGAAGGUAACUAAUCAGAAAGCCACGGCUAAACAAGUG
rnacentral:rRNA from 1 species